UAAUAAUACAUCAUCCUUACAGUUUGUUGAAUCGAUCAGUCGUUUUGUGUUGAACAUUGAACAUCAAGCUAAUUGGAUGACAUCAGCGAUGUACACAUGAAAUAAAGGAAGUAUCAGUGGCUGUCGGUGUUAAGGAAUUUACUCUUAAGUUAUAAGAUACAAGCAAAUACUUUGCCUUCACACAUGACGAUUUAUCAUUCCAUACGACGUAUCACAAAUCGGGACAUUAUUUUCUCUGAGGAAAUUGACGAAGUAAAACUAAGAUUGAAACGAGAAAUAAAAUAUCUGGCUGGGGUUUUCCCGAAAUAGUAAAUUACGUCAUCCUGCCCUCAAGGAGAUGUCAAUUCCGACAAGAAAUGUGUUAAAACUGAUAAUAGAAUUGUGGGAUUGCAAAGAAUACUGAAGUAGGGGCAGAUCGUACAGUGAAACGAAGCAUGUUAGGGUUUUUUGAAGAACAGCCCUACCCUUGGAUAGAGCUUGCCAAAGGUGUGGUCAUCAUUCUCGUGGUCCUGUAUUUAUUCUACACCUGCAAGGAAAAUGACGAUGUGGUCACCUACGCCUUUCGGGUGGCCGUAGACGCAACUGGAUCGGCCUUGAACUUUGUCUUCGGGUCUUUUGAGAACUUGGUCCACAUGGCUCUGAGCAACUACCGCCUUCCGCUUGUGAUCGCCAUCUUGACCUGGUGGAUGUUCCCAGAGAUCAUCGACGACUUCCUGUUCCUCGUCUACCUGGGAUACCAGCGUUAUAAGAACCUGCUCUUCUCCUGACCUAGUCAGAUAACACACAGUCUACGCCUAUUACCUACUUUAAACAUACCCGGUGUUUACAGGUUGGUGGAUUGAUAAGGGACAAAAAAAGACAUGAAUUGAAAGUUGCUGUAGCUGGACGCGUGAAGAUAUAUAGAGGAUGAACGACUUACCUUUGAGUAUGCAAACUAAGUCUACAUAUGUUUGAUAUCAAUGAGCAAGUAAAUAAGGAGCCACUUGGUGCAAUUUAAGUCUUGGAGAAUCUGAACAUUGUGCUAAAAAUAGAACGAUGUCUAGGCAAACAUCGCAAUCAAGAGAAGUCUGAGAUAAUUGAUCUGAAGUCGAAAUAUUCAAGAACAGGUCGAUCUGUUUCGAUACAAAGAAAGGAUUGGCUGAUAAACAAGACGAAAUACCUAUAAAGAAAAAUAGCCAAAGUAUUAAGAAAAAUCGACUACAUCCUAUAAAUUUCGACUAUUUAAACAAAUGUUGAUUGUAUCUCAGCUUAGAGUAUUGAUUCUGUCAAUAAAAGUGAACUACAUCCCAUCAUA